GCGUGUGACGCCCGGCCGCGGCGGAGCUGGUAUUAAUGGGAAAAGUUUUGGCAGAAGCCGGAGGAGCCUGCGGGACGGUGGCGGCGGCGCGAGAGGCGGCCGGGACAGUGUUGUGUGGUGUUUUGGGCAUGUACGUGGUACUCACGCAGUGGCUUCUGCUCACCGACAGAUGAGGACAGAUGCGCCAAAGAGGCUGACGGAACUGCCCUGGGUCC